CACACUUAUUUGCCAUAUUGGUUCUAAUAUAUACAGAAGUAUGUAUAAACAAACAUAUGUAUGUAUGUCUAAAAUUGUUUUCUCUGUAUAUUUGUAAAUUGGUGCAUAAAAAUACGCCCAUAGGUGGAAUUGAAUUUUCGCGCACGGUGUGACUUUUCAAAGGGCAUUAAAAUAAUUAUUAAAAAAAAAAUUGAAAUAUCAUAUGUAUAUAAAAUUAUGUCAACAUUUGGCUGCCAAGGAACUAAAAAUGUUUAGUUUCGGAGUCCAAGUGACCUAGAAUUUAAGUUUUAAAGCCCGCAUAUAAGAAAUUUAUAGCGCCGAGCUCAAAUUCAAGGCUAUGUAUUUAAUUUAGUUAUAGCAAAAAAAUUUGUAAACAUAUUUUUAUUUAUUUAAUGGAAUUGAAUUUUAAUUAACAAACUGCAAAUCUGGUUUAAAAAAUAUUUUAAAAAUUUGUUAAAGUAAAAAAAGAUAUCAAAUUUUUUUUUAUAUUUUUAUUCUCUCUAAAAAUAAUCUUAUUAUUUUUUUACUUAUUUCCUUUUUAUCUAAAAUUUUUACGUAACUUGAACACUGUGCGUUGGGAACAAGUGCAUUUGCCCAUCUUCCUCUUCCGUCGUGCAUCCCGUUAGUAUUGCGCUGUUAACACAUUUCACUUUACAUCUGCCUAUCUUGUGUUUUUGUUGUUGCUGCUCUUCACACACAGAGCUUGUUGCACAACGAAAGUCAAGCAACCCCCAGGCCGCCCGUUCAAAAGCAUAGCAAUGGGAUGCGACUUUGUGCGCUCGUCGGUCGACAUAGGCAGCAAUGCAUUGCCAGUCGCAUUUUUACGGUCGAAGCGGUAAGAACUCCAGCGUCAGCAGUUUGCAGAGAAAAUAAAUAUUGAACAUGCUUCUGGAAACAUUUGGUCUUGAUUGGGCAUUCAUAGUGGGGGCUUGCGGAUCCAUGUUCAAAUUUGCUGAGCCACAACGUAGUAUAAUAUAUGUAAAUCUUACUUAGUUAUCAAAAAUGUGAACGUUUUGAGGAAUUGCUUUUUGGAGGAGUCAAUGCUGGUUCCAGUUUUGCCGUCGGCAUAAUAUGGUUUUCGUGCUAUGUGUAACAAACGCUUCUGAUGGUUUAUAGCCAAGAACACCAGAGCACUGCAGAGCAAAAUGAAACAGUGAAAUAUGCAUUUGGUUUCAAAAAGUUCGAGCUUAACGUUUUUAUGAAUGGAAUAUUAUUUUAUUAUACGAAUAUGUGUUUUUAGUGUCUUUGAAAUGCUUGUUAUACAGUUAUGCAAUACUACAGUCGGGAAGAAUAUAAUCAUUAGUCAUUUUGGAAGGUUAUAGCAAGUUGUAAGCUUAGAGCAAAUAGCGAAAGACUUCGUCUUGGAAUCAAAUCUAUAACUUAUUUCGAUUUAAAAAUUAUAAGUUGAUAUAAAAUAUUUUUUUAUUUUUCAAAAAAAAAAAAAAAAAAAAAAUGAUGUUCAAUUUAUUUUUUCACUCAGGCUUAUUUUUAAAAAUAAAUCAAUGGAAUCUUUAUUAAACAACGCA